UUCUGUUUCUAGUUCCUUUAGGGGCAAGGUUAGAUUAUUUAUUUGAGCUUUUUCUUGUUUCUUGAGGUAGGCCUGUAUUGCAAUAUAUUUCCCUCUCACAACUGCUUUUGCUAUGUCACAAAGAUUUUGGACCAUUGUCUUGUUUUCGUUUUCCAUUUU